GGUUGUGACUCAGCGGCAGAGCACUUGCUUAGCAUGCGUGAGGCACUGGGUUCAAUCCUCAGCACCA
rnacentral:tRNA from 1 species